UACCAGCACCCCGAGUGGUCGGGACGUUUAUUGGGCCUAAAGCAUCCGUAGCCGGUUCUGCAAGUCUUCCGUUAAAUCCACCUGCUUAACAGAUGGGCCGCGGAAGAUACUAUAGAGCUAGGAGGCGGGAGAGGCAAGCGGUACUCGAUGGGUAGGGGUAAAAUCCGUUGAUCCAUUGAAGACCACCAGUGACGAAGGCGGCUUGCCAGAACGCGCUCGACGGUGAGGGAUGAAAGCUGGGGGAGCAAACCGG
rnacentral:rRNA from 1 species